UUAUUAAAUUGUUUGGUACAAACUAAUUUUGCAUCAUAUUGUUUGAUGUCAGGAAAUCUGGCACCAACACAUACGAUGUUAUAAUGAAUGAUGGAGCCAUUCUGGCUGGCCAAUUUGGAGUUCCUGUAGAGAUGGAGAGCAAGUUCAAGUUGGAGUUGCUUUAUACUGAUGAAAAGAUCAGAAUUACCCGAGGGUACAACAAUAUUAUUUUUGUCCACGUACAUGUGGAUGGGUCUAAGCAGAAAUGAAUUAUCUGCACCAACCUGAAGAAGAUAGAUAUGUAACCUAUGUUGCUUCUGAAUAUGACACAUGCAAAGAACUGAUUUUGCAUAUUUAUUACCAAGUUUAAUCCCGACAUUCUGUUUACACACUAUUGUUGACAAUUUGGAGACAUUUUUUGGUGAUAUAUUAGAAUGGAUGUUAUUUUCGA